GUUUAUGACAUCAUCAUGGUGGGCCACUCCCUUACUUUGGUUGUCUGUCUGGGACAUACACAACAGCAUGUCUCUAUCCAGCCAAGGAUAUGAUGUAUACAGACACAACUUUGAUGCAUAUGCUUGUCCAGAGAGGAGCAAUCGCUUCUAAAUGUCACCCUCCCCCCACACACUGCUGACCUUAUCAGAGAGCAGGAUCGAUACACCAACCCUUUUGGAGUGCAAAGCUGCACGUGAAUGCUGAAGAGAAGCAAUUAAAAUGGAAUUUCAGGGAUGAAGAAAAAAGAUUUCCUCCAUUGUGUCCCCAGGGAGAAAAACGAAUGAUCCAAAAGCAACUGCGGCUCUUGGAAUUAUCAUAAACAUAAUUGGUAUUUGAUAAAGCAGGAAAUGAAACAUAAUGUCCAUUAAUCAUGGUGACAACUGUAGAGUUCCACAUGUGCCAUGGUGCAGAUGUGCCUGAAGCAAACUCUGUGCUGAUUGACUCCCAGGAUCUGUGGAGAGCUCCUUAUGGGCACCUGGAAGAUAAGCUUGGAAACUUUUGCCCUACAAGUCCACAAGUUGCCCAGGGCAGGACUGCUGCUGUCUUGCUGAGACAUGAACUCUGUGUUACCUAGAACAACAAAUAAUCCUAUGGCAUCAGAAAUAUACAACAUUUUCCUGUGACACUUGGAUAAUAUUAAGGAAAUUCUUUUAACUGCCCUUACAAUUUCUACAGAAGUUUUUGGCUAAGCAAAAGUUGGCCUCAAAUUUUGCUUAAAUGAAAGGCAGAGAUGUGUUUGCGGAAAAUGCUUAGAGACAUUUCAUUAUCAUAGAAAAAUAAUUUUAACAUGAAAGUGUUUGUCAUGA